UAUGGCCAUAUCAUGUCGAAACUCCGGUUCCCGAACGAUCACCGAGGUUAAGCAACAUCAGUACCUAGAUGGGUGACCGCUUGUGAAUAUCAGGUGCUUGCA